rnacentral:rRNA from 1 species
GGCCUAACACAUGCAAGUCGAACGGUAGCACAGAGGAGCUUGCUCCUUGGGUGACGAGUGGCGGACGGGUGAGUAAUGUCUGGGAAACUGCCCGAUGGAGGGGGAUAACUACUGGAAACGGUAGCUAAUACCGCAUAACGUCGCAAGACCAAAGAGGGGGACCUUCGGGCCUCUUGCCAUCGGAUGUGCCCAGAUGGGAUUAGCUAGUAGGUGGGGUAACGGCUCACCUAGGCGACGAUCCCUAGCUGGUCUGAGAGGAUGAUCAGCCACACUGGGACUGAGACACGGCCCAGACUCCUACGGGAGGCAGCAGUGGGGAAUAUUGCACAAUGGGCGCAAGCCUGAUGCAGCCAUGCCGCGUGUAUGAAGAAGGCCCUAGGGUUGUAAAGUAC